rnacentral:lncRNA from 1 species
UGCUGUAUAUGGAGUCAGAUUUUUGAUCUUCUGUCCUGUAGAUUCAUGGGUGAUCAAAGCACAGACAAAGAAAUGAGCAGUUCUUGGACUUAUUCAGGAUAUGUUGACUACGGCAGAAGAUCAUCCAACCUCCGGAAGUGUCCAAAUUUGCAAGAAGAAGGUUUCCCCAGAAAAGAUGAGUCUUCUGGUGCUAUAAGGCGGUAAUUAAAAGGAAUCCAGUCAGGAGCUUAUUACCUCUG